GGUGGCCUAAUGGUUAGAGCGUCCGCCUCGGAAGCGGGAGGUCGCAGGUUCGAUCCCGGCCGAGUCA